CCUACGGGAGGCAGCAGUGGGGAAUAUUGGACAAUGGGCGAAAGCCUGAUCCAGCCAUGCCGCGUGUGUGAAGAAGGCCUUCGGGUUGUAAAGCACUUUCAGUGGGGAAGAAAGCCUUGGGGCUAAUACCCUCGAGGAAGGACAUCACCCACAGAAGAAGCACCGGCUAACUCCGUGCCAGCAGCCGCGGUAAUACGGAGGGUGCGAGCGUUAAUCGGAAUUACUGGGCGUAAAGCGCGCGUAGGCGGUCUGAUAAGCCGGUUGUGAAAGCCCCGGGCUCAACCUGGGAACGGCAUCCGGAACUGUCAGGCUAGAGUGCAGGAGAGGAAGGUAGAAUUCCCGGUGUAGCGGUGAAAUGCGGAGAGAUCGGGAGGAAUACCAGUGGCGAAGGCGGCCUUCUGGACUGACACUGACGCUGAGGUGCGAAAGCGUGGGUAGCAAACAGGAUUAGAUACCCCAGUAGUC
rnacentral:rRNA from 1 species